rnacentral:rRNA from 1 species
AUUGAACGCUGGCGGCGGGCCUAACACAUGCAAGUCGAGCGAGCGGCGGACGGGUGAGUAAGGGCUGGGAAACUGCCUGAUGGCGGGGGAUAACUGCUGGAAACGGUAGCUAAUACCGCAUACAAUCAGAUGUGCCCAGAUGGGGUUAGCUAGUAGGUGGGGUAAUGGCUCACCUAGGCGACGAUCCCUAGCUGGUCUGAGAGGAUGACCAGGCACACGGGAACUGAGACACGGUCCAGACUCCCACGGGAGGCAGGAGGGGGGAAUAUUGCACAAUGGGCGCAAGCUUGAUACAGCCAUGCCGGGUGGGUGAAGAAGGCCUUCGGGUUGGAAAGCAUUUUCAGCGGGGAGGCGUUACCCUCAGAAGAAGCACCGGCUAACUCCGUGCCAGCAGCCGCGGUAAUAC